rnacentral:rRNA from 1 species
GAUGAACGCUGGCGGCGUGCCUAAUACAUGCAAGUCGAGCGAACGGACGAGAGGUUUGCUUCUCUGACGUUAGCGGCGGACGGGUGUGUAACACGUGGAUAAUCCAUCUAUAUGACUGGGAUAACUUCGGGAAACCGGAGCUAAUACCGGAUAAUAUUUUGAACCGCAUGGUUCUAAAGUGAAAGACGGUCUUGCUGUCACUUAUAGAUGGAUCCGCGCUGCAUUAGCUAGUUGGUAAGGUAACGGCUUACCAAGGCAACGAUGCAUAGCCGACCUGAGAGGGUGAUCGGCCACACUGGAACUGAGACGCGGUCCAGGCUCCUACGGGAGGCAGCAGUAGGGAAUCUUCCGCGAUGGGCGAAAGCCUGACGGAGCAACGCCGCGUGGGUGAUGAAGGUCUUCGGAUCGUAAAACUCUGUUAUUAGGGAAGAACAUAUGUGUAAGUAACUGUGCACAUCUUGACGGUACCUAAUCAGAAAGCCACGGCUAACUACGUG